UACGGGGGGGUAAGGCGUUGUUCGGAUUUACUGGGCGUAAAGAGCGUGUAGGCGGCCUAACAGGUCCGUUGUGAAAACUGGAGGCUCAACCUCCAGACGUCGACGGAAACCGUAUGCGUAGAGUCCGGAAGAGGAGAGUGGGAAUUCCUGGUGUAGCGGUGAAAUGCGCAGAUAUCAGGAAGAACACCGUAGUGGCGAAGGCAGGCUCUCGUGGGACGGUACUGACGCUGAGAGCGAAAGCGUGGGGAGCGAACAGG
rnacentral:rRNA from 1 species